AGAGAGAGAGAGAGAGAGAGAGAGAGAGAGAGAGAGAGAUAUGAUCAUGCUUCAAAUCAGCUUUCCACUGUGUAAGACCUGUCAUCCAUAAUACUACAGAAGCUCUUGAAAUGAGCUGAGUGGUAACAAUCGCACUCCACGAACAGGUGUGAAUGAAGAGGCCGAGGAGAGUGAGGAGUGAGUGGCCUGCCCAUCGCACAAGUUUAAUAAUCACGCAAGGAAGGAGACAGCUCAUGCACAGCACUAUCUCAAGCAUCCUCCCUUGGAAUAGUAAUGAGGGAGGUAACCUAAAGAAUUAAGCUCAUAUUCUUAUCAGCUUUUUUUUUUUUUUUAACCCUCCCUUUUAAAGAUGAAGCAUUUUCUCAUGGUCAGAUGGUUUGAUUUUGUUAUGAAAUUGGCUACAGACUGCAUUUCUCAGUAGUAAUUAAAGUGUGAUAAAUCCGUUUUCUGUCAUGUUGUCACACAUUGUAUGAUCCAGUUAUUUAGUUCCAGAUCAGUGGAUAGUACAGUGCAAUUCUUGUCAGCUGGAAUACUUGAAUUGCUUUGUCAAAGAAAUAACGUUUCGAAUGGCUUUCCGAUCAUCAUUUAGAAGUCUGAGACAUGUCAGCAUGCAAAAUAUAAGCAAUAGAGGUGGCUCGUCUAUCUUUGGGGUGGUGAAAAAGGUCCUUGGUGACAGGUGCUCCAACAAGAGUUGCCUGGUUGGAGGUUGUAAAGCGUUACAACCUCCAACCAGGCAACUCCAGUCUUGGUUGACAGGCCUCUGCAAUAUUGCAAGGACAUCUGGGAUUUGGACUUGGGCAAAACAUUCAAUCAUGUCUCUCAGAGAGCUCUGUGGUUGGGGUGCCCCACGAGUAUGAGGAACUGGACCCCUUUGUAGGUAUAACUGAGUCAAACUUGGGUCCACAACACAAAUUCUUUCCAGUGAAGCUUGUAUAAUAAUUUGGGAUUUUUCAUUAGUUUGUAUUUGGUUUUGACUUUAGUCUUUUGAAUUGAGUUAGUUUUCAUGGUCUUAGUCAUUUCUUUGUUUUGUUUGUUAACUUUAAUAAGCUCGGGUUAGACUGCACCAAAGUUGCCCUUUGUCACGAAUUGUUCGAAACCUUAAACAGCAAGUGUCUCAGUGGCUCGUUCGGUGACCUCGACUGAAUAAUAAUUGUAAUUUGAAAAAUAUUUACAAAAGACUUCAAGAUCCAUUCCCCACAUCACCACUUACUUUACCCAGCAGUGUCAACUUGUACCCAUCAACCUUUUGAUGCAAAACCAGCCACAAAAAUGAACCUCAAUUUCGAUAAAUCACAUUGUGUGUGCUAAAUUCAUAAUCUCUAGCUACUCCUUCCACAACACAUACACUACUUUGUGAUUUUGCCCAUUUGGCGGAUACAAUCUUGUUUUUGCACGUGCAAAUUUGAGUAAAAUCAGCCCAUAAGUGUUGUUUCGUCAUGUAUAUCUUGCAAGAGAAAAUUUGCAGAGAACAGAUCCAUUGAAUGCAGUAUACAAGGUCUUCUGAACAAGAAAUGCAGUCUCACAUUGAGCUACAACAUAAUGACAAACAUUUGUUUACAUCAAAACAAAC